rnacentral:misc_RNA from 1 species
UCCGGUUUAACACCGGCAGUCUCACUAGAGUCCACAGCAUUACCUGUUAGCAACUAGAGAUAGGGGUUGCGCUCGUUAAGGGACUUAACCCGACACUUCACAGCACGAGCUGACGACAGCCAUGCAGCACCUGUGUAUGUUCCACUACAAGAGUGUCAUCGGCGUUUCUGCCGACUAAUUCAUACAUGUCAAGCCUAGGAUAAGGUUCUUCGCGUUGCUUCAAAUUAAGCCACAUGCUCCACCGCUUGUGUGAGCCCCCGUCAAUUCCUUUGAGUUUUAGCCUUGCGACCGUACUCCCCAGGCGGUGCACUCAACGUUUUUACUUCGACCGAGAACAGUAUCAGAACCUCCUCGAUCUAGUGCACAUCGUUUACGGCGUGGACUAC